rnacentral:tRNA from 1 species
GCCGAAAUAGCUCAUGUUGGGAGAGCGUUAGACUGAAGAUCUAAAGGUCCCUGGUUCGAUCCUGGGUUUUGGCA